rnacentral:lncRNA from 1 species
UACAAGCAAAACACAAAGUCUGGCAGACGCACAAUGUAAGAGCAUACAUUUGAUGCAAGUUUGAGGAAGUGCCACUCUAAUGUUUAAAACCUAAAAAUAUUAUGUAAGUUUUCACCUGGAACUUGCCUGUGAGCUGGUGUUGAAAGCAGAGUUGGUACAGGAACUAUUGUAACUGAUCAUUAAAAAUGUAUUAAAGUAUUUCUUUGUCUUCUUAUUUCGAAUAUUUUUGUCAUGAAAAAUUCCAAUUUGUCCCAACGUGAAAUAGAUAUUAUUCUUGCUGCGCAAUCCACUUUAGUAGAUUUUGAUGGUACAUUAUGGAGUAGGUUAGAUAGGGAAAAUGCUUUUCAUAUAGCAAAAGGCUCAUCAAUUCUGCUCAUGCCAGUGACCUAGUCGGAAUAUAUAUACUUUCAUUAAUCCAGUCUUCCUUUCCUGAAGUAACAGGGGGUCUAUAUAGGGAUGAUGCCUUUUUUUUCUAGACACAAGUAGUAAAUUACAGUUAGAAAGGCAUAGGAAAAUUUUCUUUACACUUUUCAAAAAUUUAGAACUAGAUAUUACUAUAAGUAAGGAUUAUCAUAGAGUGAAUUUUCUGUGUUGAUUCUGGAUUAUUUGAACCAUUUCAUAAACUGAAUGAUCAUAUUAAGUACAUUAACAUAGCAUCCAACCAUCCACCCUCGAUUAUACGGGGACUAGUUAAGAAUAUUUCUACUAGAAUUUCUAGAUUAUCUGCUACCAGUAAAAUUUUCGAAUCUCAUGCAUAUUAUUGUAAUAAUGCUCUAACUAAGGUUGAUAGAACUCAAUAUAUAGAAGAUGCAGGUUUAAGCUAGACUGGCAAUUCCUGCAAAUGAGACACACAUCGUAUACCACCACAAUGUUACUGUUUGAAAAAUCACUUGGAUGAAAAAUACAGGCUAGAAGGAAUUGGUCAUGUCAAUGAUCCACCAAAGAAAACUCACAGACUCCUUACUCAUUUCAACCCUACCCAUUCAGCGAGUAUGUCUCCCUUUCACUUUCCCAUACUCUCUUUCAACUCACAUUGAGGCAAUUCAUUGCCAUUAUCUAUCUCACACAGCUCCUGUUGUUGAUUCUUCAUUUCUUUCCUCUUCCCCAUCUAGUUGAAGUAGACAUGCAGGUCCUCCACAAGAACUUGCACUGCUCCCCCACAUUUUUAUAGCUCAAUCCCCAUAUCUACUAGCAUGCAGCUGAUUCCCUUCACCCGCUCCUAGAUUUCUAGGUCUGUAAGUUACAUGGCUUCAUUCAUGGUGAGUAGGUCGCUUGAAAAAGGAUCCAGUCCAUGCUGUAUUAGGAAGGGCAGCCAACCAUAGAAACAAGGCCAAAAUGGACAUUAUAUCAUGAUGCAAUCUUUAGGCACAUUGGAUCAAGCCAAACAUGCAAUCAUACCAUUAUGGAUCAUCAACAUAAAAUUAUGAUAAUGAUGGUGAGGAUAUAUAUAUUGGGAGUUUUAUGUAUAGUUCUAAACAGUUUGAUUCAAAUUCCUUGGUACUCUGAGUUUCAAGUGCGAUGUCAAUCUUCAGUCAUAUAUAUAUAUAUAUAUAUAUAUACAACUUAUAAAUAAGGGCAAAUGAAAAAAAUUUCUAAUGUCAUAUAUGCCGAAACUAGACACAGUGUCCAUAACCAUAUAAUUUAACACAAUAAGCACGUUACUCGAAAAAAGUCGACAGAAACUGCUAAAAAAUUCUGUUAUUACCAUAUCGGACCGAUUUCAGGGUUAGUUCAUAAGAACCCUCCCAUACAUAUAUAUGUAUGUAUGUAUAUGCUGGGCUACAUAAAAUGUACCCAGCACACUCUGUAAAGUGGUUGGUAUUAGGAAGGGCAUCCAGUGCUAGAAACCAGGCCAAAUCAGACCAGAACCUGGUGCAGCUUUCCAUCUUGUCAGCUCUGGUCAAACCAUCAAGCCAUGCUAGCAUGGAAAACAAAUGUUAAAAAGGUGACAAUAAUGAUGAUAACGAUGAUGAUGGUGAUGAUAUGUGCGUAUAUGUGUUUGUGCAUGAGUUUGUCAUCCUAUAUACUUUGACAAUCGUUGAUGGCUUGUUUCUGUGCCAACAACUUAGCAGUUAAACAAAAGAAAGUGAUAGAAUAAGUGCUGGGCUUAUAAAAUGAAUUCAGGGCCAGUCUUUUCAAAGAAAGCCCUUCAAUGGGGUGCUUCAGCAUGGCUGCAGUGCAAUGACUGAAGCAAGUAAAAGAAUACAGAAUUUAGAUACUUAUACAUACAAACAUGCAUGUGUGUGUCAGUGCAUGUGUAUGUGUGUAUGUGUGUGUGUGUGUGUGUGUGUGUUCUAUUUUAUUUAAGCUAUAUAUAAUUAUUAUAUGAAUGGGCGUCGCCAGUAUGGUUGUAGCAUGAUGGGUGAAACAAACUAAAGAACUAAUAGUUUUGAUACAGUUAGAAUGGACAAAUGAAUAAACAAAACAAUAUAUUACUAGUAUGUCUGGGGAGAGUCAUUUUCUUUUUGUGCCUUAUAAUGUACCAAACACACUCACCGGUAAAAUUUCCACUUACUUCUUAUUUUUAUUUUCCUAAACUUUCCGUUGUGUCUUGCAACCUUUUCAAGACUAUUGAGAGUCAAGACUAUUGAAAAGGUUGCAAGACGCAAUGAAAAUUUUAGGAAAAUGAAAAUAAGAAAAAAAGUGGAAAUUUUACCAGUGAGUGUGUUACAUUAUAAAGCACAAAAAGAAAAUGACUCUCCCCAGACACAAUAGAAUAUUAUUCAACACACGAACACAUAUAAAGAAUCUUGCAAACCAAAUCCGAAAACGAAAUAUUACUGGUGUGUUUUUGUUUCAAAAUCAAUCUAGAAUGUAAAUGAAAGACAAUGUUGAAUGUGUGAUGAUCUAAACUCAGUAUUUCUGAAUGCAGUGUCUAGGAAUAUGAAAUAUAAAUAAGACUAUAAGGUCUUUUUUUAUGACUCCAACCAUUUCAGCAAAAACUUGUCUGUCUUGGUCUUGAAAUAGUAAUAAAUAUAUUAAAUAGAUGAAAGGAAAUAUAUAUUAGAGGCACCACAAGAACCAGAUUAUUGAACAAAGUCUGUGAUAUAUGGACAUUAUUAGUAUAUCUUUGAUGUCAAACUAAGCAUUUCAUUUCUUGAACCCCUACCAAAACAUUUCAUUUAGACAAAAACAUUGUCAACAUUUACGAGAAUUUAUUGAUUUCUUUAUAUUUUUAGACCUGGAGAUUUCUUCUGGGUUUUUUUUAGUUUGUUUAUUAUUAUUUUCACAAGGAAAAGGUCAAACUGGACAUAAUUAGUUGAAUCAAAGCCAAAAAAAAAAAAAGAAAGAAAACUAAGAGCUUAUUACAUUAAAAGAGAAAAAAUUAACAGCAUGGAGUAAACUACCAAUAUUAGGGUAUUUGGAAUGAAUUUAUUAGACUUGCAGCUUUAACCUAGAAUCUACACAUUUCAUCUCUUACUUUGGUCAUCGGAAGAGAAAAUACCCAAACUUGAAUUAUUGAUCAAACUCAAAAAUGCUAUCAUUUUAUUAUCACAAGCAAAGAUACUGCUAUGCUGGCAAGCAUGGGACUGGUUUUCCAAAGUAGCAUUUUACAAGCAUAUGUCUUUCUUGUCACCAACCUAUUUAGUUUUCAAUUGUGGAAGUUACAAUGUACCUAUUCUAAAACUCUGUUGCAGGUGGUAAAUAUGUGUGUGUAUACUCUUUACACUUUACUCUUUUACUUGUUUCAGUCAUUUGACUGUGGCCAUGCUGGAGCACCGCCUUUAGUCGAGCAAAUCAACACCAGGACUUAUUCUUUUGAGUCCUAGUACUUAUUCUAUUGGUCUCUUUUGUCAAACCGCUAAGUUACGGGGAUGUAAACACACCAGCCUAAAUGUUUGAUGGUAAUUUGAUGGUAAGGCGUUGAGCUGGCAGAAACGUUAGCACGCCGGGCGAAAUGCUUAGCUGUAUUUCGUCUGCCGCUAUGCUCCGAGUUCUAAUUACGCCAAGGUCAACUUUGUCUUUCAUCCUUUUGGGGUCGAUUAAAUAAGUACCAGCUAUGCACUGGGGUCGAUAUAAUCAACUUAAUCCAUUUGUCUGUCCUUGUUUGUCCUCUCUGUGUUUAGCCCCUUGUGGGUAGUAAAGAAAUAGGUAAUUUGAUGGUAACAUACCUGUGGCUGAACUGAAGGGCUCUCAUUAAAGUGCUUUCAGAAAUAGAAGUACUUAAUGACAUCAUGUUGUGUGAAUCCAUUGUAAUGUUUGUCACGUAAGUUGUCAAAGGAAUCUAUUAUUGAGAAUCUGCUUCUCCAGAAAGGAGUGUUUGUAGAUUGCAUAAUUUUAUCAUGAACUGCAUCAAGUGUGAUACUGCUAAUUCCACUUAAUUCAUCUUAGUUGAGUUACUAAGCUUGAAUCAGAGACAGUAAAGAAAUUGAGUUAAUUAUCUUUUGAAUGAAUCCAUUGGUGAGGACUGGCAACUAAGCAUACAAUUCCAUCAUCCAUAUUAAUGACCAAGGUUAAUGGCUAUAGCUUAGGUUUACUUUUUGAUAUAGACAUAUGUAUAUACAUACAUAUGUAUGUAUGUAUGUAUGUAUGUAUGUAUGUAUGUAUGUAUGUAUGUAUGUAUGUAUGUAUGUAUGUAUGUAUGUAUGCAUGCAUGCAUGCAUGCAUGUAUGUAUGUAUGUAUGUAUGUAUGUAUGUAUGUAUGCAUGUAUGUGUGCAUAUGUACAUGUGUGCAUGCAUAUAUAAUUUGGUUUGGUUCACAGAACAAAAGAAAUAGGACCACUGCAUAUGAGAAAUAGAAAUAGCCCUGUUUUAUGUAAUUGUACAUGAACAAAACUGGAUGCAACUGUAGCUCCAUGAAAUUGUCCAUGAGCAUAUGAGUGUCACUUCAAACUGUCUGUGGAAAGAGUGAGCUAUGUUCAUUAACCCUUUCAUUACUGUAUUUAUUUUGAGAUGCUCUGUGUUUCUUUCAAGUACUUUAAAUAUAACAAAGAACUUAGUAAAAUAACUUAGUUAUUGAGCUCGUGUUAAGAACAUAAAUUGUGACUAAGGUUUGGUGGAAGAUUUUAAUUCAAGACUUAAGAAAACAAGAUAUUUGUACUACAGAGCCAGAGCAGGUUUCAGCCAUGCUGGUAGCAAAAGGGUUAAGCUUUUCAGGAGAUUUAAUAAGGGAUUAUUUUUUCCUAUGGCAAAAUAUUUCUCGUGCAAGAGCAGCUGCAACACAAACAUCAACCUCAAAGAAUUAUGUCAUCUGAUACGAGAAAUAGUGAAUAAAUUAAGAAGAUAAGGAAAGAGAGAAAGAUAGAAAUGAGGAAGAAUGAGUACAAUAGUGAAAGAAAGAAGCAAAUAAUAAGAGAAAUGCCUGAAAGAAGGAAGAGAGUAAUGCAAGAAAGAGAGACUGAAAAUAAUGUACUAAUGUCAAGGAGAGACAAGCAAUAGGGAUAACUGGCAGGCAUUUGUGGUGAACAUUUUAUAGUGUUUUAGAUCAGUGGUGGAAGAUGUGUUUUUACUUGCACAAGUAAGGAGCAAAAUAAAAUUUUGCAUUCAGGUAUUCAGCAGGCAAUAGUUAUUUACUCUUUUUUACACUUUUACUCUUUUACUUGUUUCAGUCAUUUGACUGCGACCAUGCUGGAGCACCACCUUUAAGUCAAGCAAAUCGACACCAAGACUUAUUCUUUGGAAGCCUAGUACUUAUUCUAUCGGUUUCUUUUGCCAAACUGCUAAGUUACAGGGACGCAAACACACCGGCAUCGGUUGUCAAGUGAUGUUGGGGGAUGAACACAGACACACAAACAUAUACACACACAUACAUACAUAUAUAUAUAUAUAUAUAUAUAUAUAUAUAUAUAUAUAUAUAUAUAUACAUAUAUACGACGGGCUUCUUUCAGUUUUCCGUCUACCAAAUCUACUCACAAGGCCUUGAUCGGCCCGAGGCUAUAGUAGAAGACACUUGCCCAAGGUGCCAUGCAGUGUGAGUGACUCCAGAAUCAUGUGAUUGGUAAGCAAGCUACUUACCACAUGGCCACUCCUACGCCUUUUUUAUUAUUUUCUUUUGUACUAGUCUCAUUUCCAUUAGAUACAACCUGCAUCUUCUACUGCACUUGAAUAAUGACCAAAAUGCAGUUGGCAGACGGAAACUGAAAAAGAGCCCAUCAUAUAUAUGUAUGUGCAUGCGCGCAUGCGUGUAUGUGUGUGUGUGUGUAUGUGUUUGUAUGAAUGUGUUUGUGUCUUCAUAUCUGUGUUUGUCCCCCACCACUGCUUGACAGUGUUGGUGUGUUUACAUUCCCAUAACUUAGCAAUUUGGUAAAAAAUACCGAUGGAAUAAGUACCAGGCUUAACAAAAAUGUAAGUACUGAGACUGAUUCAUUCGACUAAACAUUCUUCAAGGCAGUGCCCCAGCAUGGCCAUAGUCUAAUGAUUUGAAAUAAGUAAAUGACAAAUAUGUGUAUAUGCAUGUAUGUUUAAAUACACAUGUAUACGCAUGUGGGUCAGUGAUUUUGGCUGUUGCACUUAUGAUCAUAAAUCUGUUUCAGUUUCUGAUCCGGGGAUGUAGUCUCUUCUUGAGCUAACCACGUCAUUUCAUGUUGCUCUUGUCCACUCAGUUGGCUAAAUGAGUAAUUCUGUGUCAGACCAGUAUCCUGUCCAGUAGUAGGGGAUUUUAUACACUACAGAAUCGGGGAAACUGACCUCAUGAGCCAAUGACUCAAGACAAACCUUUGAUCUUUUUUAUAAAUAUAUUUAGGGAUAUAUCUGUGUACACACAUACACAUGCAUACAUAUAAUGAAUUCUAUCAAUUUUAGAUUUGUUGGCUCACUGAUAGUCUUAUCUAACACGCCUCUCAUACUCACUCUUCUAUCACACACUAUUCUAUCUCACAUUCUUACUAUUAUUCAUAAGUCUAGUAUUCAUAACACCAUCUUUCAUGUCCUUAUUGACCAUGGAACUCUUACUUUUUUUUAUUACUCAUGCUUCUAACACUCAAGCAGCUAGUACUUGUACCUUCAGCACUCAUGCCUCAGAUGCAUAUUUCUCAAUCAUUUCUUUUUCUCACUGUACUAUGCUGCUGGUAUGAGAAAUCGUAUUAGUGCCUCAUUUUGGUUCACUAUAUAUUGCUUCCAGUACAUGUAGGGACACAAAGUCCCUCAUCACUCUUUAAUAAGCCUAUCACAUCAGAUUUCUCACUUACCAAAGACAUAAGUUUUACAUUCUCAGUAAUUGUCUCAGAUUUGCAGCAUUGAAGGUGUUUAUAAGCCAGUUAAGAAACACACAAAACUGUUAGAUUCACUUCAACAUUUAAAUUUAAUCUGUCAAAAUAUUUUCAUCGCUUUGAGACUGCAACCUGUUCAAAGCUUUGUCAGUGAACAGGUCGUGGUCUCAAAGCAACGAAAAUAUUUUGACAAAUUAAAUUUUAAUGUUGAAGUGAAUCUAACGGUUUUGUGUGCUUCUUAACUGGCUUAUAAACACCUUCCAUGCUGCAAUUGUUUUCAUCCCAGCACACGAUCUCAGAUCAAGUCACGUGCUAUGCAAGUACAUCUCCAUAAUGUCUCACAUUUGUGCUCUCUUGUAUUGGUGCCUCGCUUAAACACAGAGUACACUCUGUAAAAUGGUCAGUAUUAGGAAUGCCUCCACCCAUAGAAACCAAGUCAAAUGCAAUAUUUUCAAAAGAGGUGUGGUCCCCCAACACAUGUAAAAUAUUGGUACAACAAUUAUCCAUCCAGCAUGGAAAGCAGCUGUAAAAUGAUAAAUAUGAGAUAUCUAUAACUUCCUACUUACAUAUAGAUUGCUUCCCAACCAUAUGUUCCCAGGUUCAGUCCCACUGCAUGGCAUCAUGGGCAAGUGUUUUCAACUAUCGGCUUAGGUCACCCAAAGACUUCUGAGUGGAUUUGGAAGACAGAAACAGAAAGAGACCAGUCAUAUGUGUGUGUGUGUGUGCGUGUGUGUCUGUGUGUGUCUGUGUUUGUCACCCCACCAUUGUUGACAACUGAUUUUGGUGUGUUUAUGGUCCCCAUAACUUAGCGGUUUGGCAAUAGAGAAUGAUAGAAUAAGUACUAGGCUCACAAAGAAUAAGUCCUGGCAUCAAUUUAUUCGCCUAAAGGUGAUGCUCCAGCAUGACUGCAUUCAAAUGACUGAAACAAGUAAAAAAAUAAAAGAAUACAUACAUAUAUAAUCUCUCUCUCUCUCUCUCUCUCUCUGUAUAUAUAUAUAUAUGUACAUAAAUAUAUAUAUAUGCAUAUAUAAAUAUAUAUAUGCAUAUAUAUAUAUAUAUAUAUAUAUAUAUAUGUAUAUAUAUUUAUAUAUAUAUAUAUAUAUAUAUGUAUAUAUAUUUAUAUAUAUAUAUAUGUAUUUAUAUACAUAUUUAUAUAUAUAUAUAUAUUAUAUAUAUAUAUAUAUGUUAUAUAUAUAUACAUUAUUCAUUUAUAUAUUAUAUUAUAUUAUAUUAUAUUAUAUAUAUAUUUGAAUGUAGCUAUAUAAACAAAAGACAGGUGAAAUACACAAUAAUACUAAAGGUGUUGUUCUAAUAUUUUUAGAAAAAUUAAAAGAUAAAAUGUGCAAUGUUUUAUUUUGAUAUCUUAAAUUUUUUUAACUUAUAUAACCAAUUCUAUCCAUUCUGGUUGGGCUUAUCAAAUAAGAAUGAGAAGAUAAUUAUAGCAUUUGAAAUAUAUAGAGUUGAAAUUGUUGCAGCUGGACAGGGAACUAGGGUACCAGUCUACAAAUCAAAGAAUGUUCCCUGAAGAAUUUAAUUGAAAGGAUAUAGUUUUUCACGAAUAAGGAACAAAAACAAAUAAUGAUGGAAGAAAAAUAUAUUCAGAAAUAUAAAACUUGCUUAAAUGGUUGACAAAAAAUUUCCUCGACUUAUAAAAUUAAGAACACUUAUAUACAAUGAGGGGUGAUUCAGACAUAUACGCAUAUUCACAUAUUGUAUGGGCAUGUAUACUAGACCAUUAACUUUUGUGUGUAUGUUUGUGUGUGUGUGUGUGUGUGUGUGUACAUGUGCAGGUGCAUACAUGUCUAUAUGCAAAUAUGUAUAUGUAUAUGUUUGUGUGUGUGUGUGUUCAAAUGAAUGUGUAUGUGUGUGUGUAUGUAUAUGUGGAGACGCAAUGGCCCAUUGGUUAGGGAAGCAGACUCACGGUUGGAGGAUCGUGGUUUUGAUUCUCAGACCGGGUGUUGUGUGUGUUUAUUGAGCGAAAACACCUAAAAGCUCCAUGAGGCUCCAGUAGGGGGUGGUGGCAUCCCCCUGUUCUACUCUUUCGCCACAACUUUCUCUCACUCUCUCUUCUGUUUCUUGAGGAAUGCUGCGAUGGACUGGCGUCCCGUCCAGCUAGGGAGAACACAUACGCCACAGAAACCGGGAAACCGGGCCCAUGAGCCUGGCUAGGCUUGAAAAGGGCAACGUUUAUCAUUCAUUUUAUUAUCGUAUACGUAUAUACGCAUACAUGUAUAUCUUCAUAUAUCUUAUAAAGAGUAUUUCAUUUUUCCAAGACAAAAGUAAGAGGACAAACGUAAGCAUUUAAUUAUUUAUGACCUUCCUAAAAGAAUUAAAAACUCACCAUUCCUUAUCUUAUCUUUUAAUCUGACCACCUCAUACAUCUACUCACAAAAAUCUCAGCUCUGUUUAUUUAAUCAUCUUAUUCCCUUUAAGUAUUAUCCUAUCAAUCUCUGGAGGGCAGACAAUUGUUUAAAAAUCUUAUCACAUAACACCGUAACAUUUAUACCAGCCAUAGCCUGCCAAAAUGUUCUACCUGCUUUAUAUUCAGGCCAGCCAGAUCUAGCCUUUCACACCUAUCUGACAAAAUCAUUCUAUAAAUAAACAGGCAUGGCUGUGAGGUAAGAAGCUUACUUCCUAACCACAUAGUUCCAGUUUCAGUCCCACUGUGUGGAACCUUGAGAAACUGCAUUCAACUAUAGCCUUAGACCAACCAAAGCCUUGUGAAUGGAUUUGGUAGAUGGAAGCUGAAAGAAGCCCACCGUAUAAUAUAUAUAUAUAUAUAUAUAUAUAUAUAUAUAUACAUACAUAUAUAUAUAUACAUACAUAUAUAUAUAUACAUACAUAUAUAUAUAUAUCAAAUGUAGGAUAAAAUUUUUUUUUUAAAAUUUUCUCAAUGGCCUGCAUGUUAAAGAAUACCUUUAAAGGUUAAAUUUAUAAAUAACUUGCCCUUAUUUUAUAAGUUAUAUAUAUAUCUAUAUAUAUCUAUAUGUAUAUACAUAUAUAUACAUAUAUAUAUGUAUAUAUAUAUAUGCAUACAUACAUACAUAUAUAUAUAUAUAUACAUAUAUAUAUGUAUAUAUAUAUAUAUAUAUGUGCAUACAUACAUACAUACAUAUAUAUAUAUAUAUAUACAUAUAUAUAUGUAUAUAUAUAUAUAUAUGUGUGCAUGUGUGUAAUUGCGCAUGUGUGCUUAUUUGUGACUGUCUUUGUCACCCCAUUACGGCUUGACAACAGGUGUUGGUGCCUUUAUGUCCCCUUAACUUGGCAAUUCAUCAAAAAUACAUCGAUAGAAUAAGUGCCAGACUUUAAAAACAAAAAAGUACUGGGUAGAUUCAUUCAACUACAAACUUUUCAAGGUGGUGCACCAGCUUGGCCAUAAUCUAAUGACUAAAACAUGUAAAAGAAUCACAUCAUUGAAAUCUCAAGGCUAUGAAAUAACACAUGAUUAAUGCAAAAUAAUGUGAGUAAAUAAGCAUAAAAUUUAAAGGGUAUGCAUUAAAUUACUGACUCAACGUUCCUUACCUUACUGUUUAAAAACUAUACCCUUAACUUAAAAUUUCUACCAAGCAGUCUUUGAUUUGUAACCUGAUACCCUCAAUUUUAAUCUAGCUACAGCGAUUUCAACUCUAUAUAUUUCAACUAGCAUUCUUACAUUCUCAUAUUCCUUUGAUUAGUUCAGAAUUGACAGAACUAGUUACAAUGUAUGUGAAAAAAAUUUAAUAUAUCUAAAUGAGAUAUAACACUUGUUUGUUUUGUUAUUUUUUUCUCUCGGUGUUUCUAAAACAAUUACCACAAUUCUUUUCAUGUAUUAUACAUUUGCUUUCAGUUGUUGUUUAUAUGGUACAACUUAUAAGAACCUAUAACCAAUCUGGACCAUAUAUACAUAUGUAUAUAUAUAUAUAUAUAUAUAUAGAGAGAGAGAGAGAGAGAGUGACAUACACACACACACAGACAUAUAUACACGUAUAUACACAGAGUGACAUAUAUACACAGAGAGAGACUAGUUUCAGGUAGUUGCCUUUUAUCAACUACCCCGAAACUAGUCUGUGGAUGCCAAACUAGCAAAGGGAAGCUGCUGACCUACCCUGUUCGAAGGUUGUAAUGGACACAGGUUUGUGUGUCAUAUAGCUAGCUAGAUGUGAUGACCUCUUGCAGCUAAUGAACAGCAGCAUUCAUCCUAUUUUUCUGGACUGCUAUGUUAGCUUGGUGAUAACUAUUACUAUCAAGUACUGCUGCUGUAGUUUCCUUUACAGGGAAUUAGAAAUAAUGAUAUUUCUAUUAUAUAUAUAUAUAUAUGUGUGUGUGUGUGUGUGUGUAUGUAUAUAUAUAUAUAUAUACAUAUAUACAUAUAUGCAUACAUACAUAUAUACAUAUAUACAUAUAUACUUACAUAUUCAUAUAUAUAUAUAUAUAUAUAUAUAUAUAUAUAUAUAUAUAUAUAUGUGUGUAUGUAUAUAUAUAUAUACAUACAUAUAUACAUUUAUAUAUACAAACAUAUAUACAUAUAUGCAUACAUACAUAUAUACAUAUAUACAUACAUAUAUACUUACAUAUUCAUAUAUAUAUAUAUAUAUAUAUAUAUAUAUAUAUAUAUAUACAUAUAUAUAUAUAUAUAUGUGUGUAUGCAUAUAUAUACAUACAUAUAUACAUUUAUAUAUACAUACAUAUAUACAUAUAUGCAUACAUACAUAUAUACAUAUAUGCAUACAUGCAUAUAUACAUAUAUACAUACAUAUAUACUUACAUAUUCAUUUAUAUAUAUAUAUAUAUAUAUAUAUAUAUAUAUAUAUAUAUAUACAUAUAUGUAUGUGUGUAUAUAUGUUCACUAACACACAUGCAUAUACACAUGUCUCUGAGUGCGUGUCUGUAUCUCCAAUGUAUUGUCUAAUUUUCAUGCUCAGAUGAAAUUUAUUAAGGCAGAUAUUUGAUAGAAAGAUGAUAUUCCUGUGUAUCAAGCCCCAUCUUAUAUCCAAGCAAGUUAAUAAUUCUGACAAAUUACUAGAAAUCAAUCACAAUGCUUGUAUAAUAAUGAAAAUCAGUUAUCAUCAUCACAUGACAGCUUAAGAAGGUGACACAAGCAUUCAUACAAACACACAUAUAUAUACGUACAUACAGACACAUAUAAUGUCAGACUCUGACUGUAGGUAUGUAUUAGUGUAUCUCCAUCCUGACAUUGCAUGAAAGUUGUAAGAUCAUCACUGUCAUACAUGCAGCGUCCUUCAUUUCCAAGAGUCUGUUAAAACAAAUCUGGCUAUCAGGAAAUAUCACCUUGUUUGUACACGGAGGACUAACUAGAACAGAGAACGAGCAUCUAGCUAUAGAAUAACAGCUUCAAUAAAUUCCCUCUGACUCAUGCAGACAUGGAUAAUUUGAAUUAUAAAUGUUGAUGAUGAUUAUAAUUUUACAUAGUAAAAUAUAGAUAUAUAUAAAACUGGAUCUUUUCUUGUCAAUUGUCCCAGAUGAACCAACUUCAUGGCAGGAGGUGCAGAUGAGGGCAGCUGCAUCGAACUCUCUCAUGCACCAAAUGGCAAUUGCUAAAAAGCAUUCGUGAAGUAAAAUCAUGUAGCAACACCUAAUGGUGGUGCCCCAGCAUGGCCACAGCUCGUGAGCUGAAACUAGAUAAAAUAAAAUAAAAAAUAAAAUAUACUGUUGAUAGUAUACUGUUUAUAGGUGCAGGAGUGGCUGUGUGGUAAGUAGGUUGCUUACUAACCGCGAGCUGGUAGAAACAUUAGCACACUGGGCGAAAUGCUUAGCAGUAUUGUUUCUACUGCUAUGUUCUGAGUUCAAAUUCUUCCGAGGUCGACUUUGCCUUUCAUCCUUUCCGGGUUCAGUCCCACUGCGUGGCACCUUGGGCAAGUGUCUUCUACUAUAGCCUCGGGCCAACCAAAGCCUUGUGAGUGGAUUUUGUAGACAGAAACUGAAAGAAGCCUGUCGUAUAUAUGUAUAUAUAUAUAUAUAUAUAUAUAUAUAUAUAUAUAUAUGUAUGUGUGUAUGUGUGUGUGUCUGUGUUUGUCCCCCUAGCAUUGCUUGACAACCGAUGCUGGUGUGUUUAUGUCCCCAUCACUUAGCAGUUCGGCAAAAGAGACAGAUAGAAUAAGUAAUGGGCUUACAAAGAAUAAGUCAAGUGUAUAUAUAUAUAUACUGUUAAAAUUCAAGCUGUGUCUUCUUGACAUGCAUAUGCAUAUUCCAGUAUUCUAAAUAUGUACAUAGAUGUAAUGCUCUUGUAUGCUUGAGAGUAGAAAGCACAGGAAAAUACUUUUGCAGAGUAAUAAUAUAUGGAAAAAAAGAUUGUUUUCAGCAUUACUCGUUUUUUAUUUUCAUAUAGGUGUUAAAAAAUUGUACAUGUAGGAAAAAAAAUAUAAAACAUCUCCUAUUAGAAAUUCUUCAGACAAGCAAUCAUAUAAAACUAUUUGUAUUAUUUAAUUCUCUAUCUGAAGAAAUUCUAAUACUAUUUACCUCACAUGAUUUCUAUCACUAACUCCUAUUAGCAAAUGAAUCAAGUGUAUUAGAGAUUAAAUAAUACUUAAAGUUAUUCCAAUAUCCUACAUGCUGCCACACUUGCCCCUACUUCUCCAACACCACCAUCUUCACAGGCACCCAUCAUCAUCCCUAUCAUGUUAAUGACCCCUUUACCUGCACUUCUAACAAUGCCAUUUACUGCAUCUCCUGCUCUUUCUGUCCUUCUCUGUACAUCGGUCAAAUCAGACACCACUUGGCAGACUGGUCCGCAGAGCACCUCCAAGACAUUAGACUCAGCAAUGACACCCCAGUCUCGCACCAAUUCCACUCUACCAGUCACUCAUUACAACACAUGUCUGUGUUCGGUUUGUCUUUGCACAGGGGCCAUCUGGACUCCCCCUGUGAACAGGAAUUAAUGUUCUCUCCGCUCUUUUGCACCACAUGAGCUCAACUCCCUCCCCUACUGUCUUCAUCUGAUUCCCCUCCUCCACUCUCUUCAUCUGACAUCUACUUCCUCUCUUCACUCCUAUCCAUCGAUACCCUCUCAAUCCACACCCCACCCACACACAUCCCAUUCCCACAUACCACACCCCAACCCCCUCAUCCUCACCCUAACCAUCACAUCCUCACUCCAUCCAACAUCCUCACCCCAAAACCACACCCCACCCUCACAUAACCAAACCCCCAAAACACCACAAGACACCGCAUCACACAACCACACCACCACACCACACCACUCCAAACACUAGCACUGAGUACUUCCCAGCAUCUACACCAUCAUCCACACACCCACACAUUACAGGCAUACACACACACAUAUGCACACGUCUGCACGUCAAAGUCACCAGCCGCUAUCCACACACACACACUUAUGCACUCUCACAUACACACAGACAUGUCUUCGCUUUGGGACCACCAGUAGUUUAUUAUUUCCCCUUUUUCCUAGCUCUCCUCUCUAACUACCCUUGUCCAACCAGUUGCCAAAAUUCAAUGCUAAAUCCACAAGAUUUUUUAAUUCUCUCUCUGUUUAUUCCCUUGUGUUCUUUUCUGUUGAAGAGUGUAGGCUCAAAAUGGAAAAGACUUUCUCACCUUCCCAAGCAUCAAACUAAUAUAUCUGCUUCUUGUUUAUACAUGUGUCUACAUCUUUUGCCUUUCUGUAAAUUUCAACUGUAUAUAUAUAAAUAUAUACAUGUGUGUGUGUGUGUGCAUUUGUAUGUAUGUAAAUAUGCAUGUGUGUGUAUUGCAUUAUCACUUUCAUUUCACCAUGGAACUUAAGUAGAUAAAACUGUUAAUAAUAGAAUCUAGAAUAUUGGCUUAAAACAUUCUUUGGAUCAUAAAGUCAAAGCAGCCUUCAACAUUUUAUUAUCGAAGAGUUUGAAAUUUCGCAAAACUUCUAAAUUUCUUAUGAUGUAAAUGUAUAUAUGUAUAAACUUAUAUAUAUAUAUAUAUAUAUAUACAUGUCUACACACAUGUACAUGAAAAUAUGCAUAUAUGUGUGCGUAUGUAUGCGCAUGAAUGUGUGCCAGUGCACGAGUGUCUAUAACAUUUAUAUACACAUUGCUACUUGUUAACUCAUGAAUUUACUCAUAUUUCAAAACAAAAUGUUUUCACAUUGUAGCAACAAACAAUACGUAGCACCUGUUGUAGCUGUGUAAGUUUUAAGUUUGUUUAUAAGUAAAUUCAAAUAUACAUAAAUCUUUAAGUACUAAUGUUUUUCCCCUUUUCUUUUUACCAAGAAAUAAAUUCAGGAUAAUACACAUAUGUUCAAGCAGUAAUACAACAACUUAUGUUUAUUAAAAAAUAACGUUUGCUGACAGUUUCCCAGAAAAUUGCUUCUUACAAUAAAUUGAAUUCUAACAAAAAUAAUCAAUUUAAAAUAGAAAUCAGAUGAAAUAUUAUUAGAUUAAAAUGGGUAAGAGCAUGUGUUUAAAUGCUGUUCUAAGUAAGAAUAUUUUUUAUAUCCAUUUUCAGCUAAUCUGUUCUUGAUGAAAUUCUGUAUAAACUUGGGUUCACUGUGUUUCGUAGGUUACAAGAAAAUAAAUGUUACAUCGCAUAGAGUAAUCCAUUUACUUUUUAAAUAUAAAUGAUAGUUACAAUAAAUUUAAAACAGCUGAAUAUUUUCUAAGAACAAACGAUAGAUAUAUUUAUACAUAUAUCAUGUAUGUAUAUAUAUAUAUAUAUAUAUGAACAAUAUAUAUGCAUAUAUAUAACACCCACACUCACACAUACACAUACAUAUAUAUAUUUAAAAAAUCAUGUCUAUAUGUAUGAUUUUUAUAUAUAUGUAAAUCAUAUAUAUAUAUAUAUAUAUAUAUAUAUAUAUAUAUUUAAAUCAUAUAUAUAUAUAUAUAUAUAUAUAUAUACUUAAAUUAUAUAUAUCUAUAUAUAUCAAAAAUUCAUAUGUAUAUAUAUAUAUAUAUGUACUCCUACGCUCUCAUACGAUUCCACAUCAGCACUCUUGAUACCAUCUUUGAUAAUGAAGACAGCAAAGAUGACUAGGAUGGAGGCACAGAUGCAGAUGUCACCCCCACUUGAUAAACAUUCAAGAAAACAUUGACAAUUCAAAUGAGAAAUCUGCGAUUCAAACGAGAAACACAAGUGCAAGUGCCCCUACCACCAUCAAAACGAAAAACCAUUGAGGUGAAAGAGCCAAGAAAGAACAACUAAAAGAAGCAAAAACUAAAACAAAAACAAACGAUGAAACAGCCAAAGAAAGAAGCAAACCUGACAACCCAUAUAAGAAAAAAUAUAAAAGGAGAUAGCACACACAAAUGUGCAAAUUCUAAUUGAAAGAUAUCUACUGGCAAGGAAAGGUGGGUGCAAGCUACUAUUUUGCACACCUAAGACCCUGCCACAUAAAUGAAACAGGAUGGAAACCACCUGCCAAAAGAAAAGGACUAUGCACCACCUGCCCCAAAACGGAGGUAGACAGAUAUAGUGCAUACUACAAACCAGACUUAUGAACAUGUUGUUGAAAGGGCAGCUGCUAAACAAUAAUGUUUUUGUACAUGGCACAAAAGAUUGCACAGCAGCUGAUCUGGCUACAUCAAUCUCACAGAUGGGACUAUCCCCCAUAAACAAGACCACCACAGCAAAUAAACCCCAAGGUGGGCACCACAGAUAACAACACAAACAUCACAUUGGUGCUCUUAUUGAACAUCAGAGGACUGUUAACACUUAGUAAACAGGACAAAGAUUCCUUUCUUGAGUGACCUUGUUGCAUGCAAUCAUGACUUAUGCAUAGCACUUACGUAAACACACCUGAAACCAGAUAUAGUAAAUGCAGAAAUACUCAUACCAUAGUAUGUUGUAUUACAGACUGACAGGAAAGAAAGAAGUCAUGGUGGAUUUGUGAUGUACAUCUGUGAACACCUCACACACCAAGUCCUUUUGUUACACUCAAAUUCAGUAUGUGACACGCUAAUUGUACAUAUAAGGCAACUCAGUGUAGUUAUAUGUGCUACAUAUCGCUCUCCAGAUGCUCCGAAGCAUGUAGGCAAGUUUGAAAACUGCUUUACAAAAAUAGAAGUUCUAGUCACAUUAGAACAACACAUAAGGAUACUACAGUCUACAUAUAAACAUAGAAGUACCAGGGUUAAGUGAAACGUUUUUGUAUAACAUGGAUGAAUUUAGAAAUGGAGUCAAAUGCUGGUUUUAUUCAAAUCAUUUAUACUUCCUAAACAUGAUUUGAAGAAAGCAUUGACAUUAUUCCCUCGAGAAUAAUCUCAAAGCUUUCUUCCAAACAUGUCUUGGAAGUACAAAUGAUGUGAAUAACACCUGCAUUUAACUACGUUUCUUUAUUUAUAAAUAUAUGUGUACAUAUAUAUAUAUAUAUAUAUAUAUAUAUAUAUAUAUAUAUAUAUAUAUUGACCUGCUCACUUAGCCAGCGGGGU